rnacentral:tRNA from 1 species
GAUAAAGUGGCUGAGUUAUAGGCGGUAGAUUGUAAAUCUAAUAACAAGUAAAAACUUCUUUAUUA